ensembl:lncRNA
AUUCAGCACUGGGGAAAGAAGUAAGUUCUUCAGAUAUACGAUUCGCAGGAGCAGAAUUUGAAGAGCAAUUAAUUACUGAGGAUUCUGAGUUAAAAGAGAGUGACUGAAGGGAUGGGAUAUGUGCAAAACCGACCCCUUUGAAUGCAAAUGCUCCUUGAUCUUCAUUUGGGGCAGAGGAAGUAAUUUCUGUCUUCUCACGCUCGCUAUGAGGAGCACAAUUCAGCACGCACCCCCUUCCCAGCCUCUUCGGCAGCACAGAGCUCUUCACUCGACUGUUAAUACACUGAAGGUCACCAUUUCCUAACUUGCCCUGUUGGCUUCUUCAUGGGAUUUACAAGCUUGCUCCUUCUCCUGGUGAUCUGAUUUCCAUGUGUAUGAGAUGAGGUGAGAGUUUGGCCACUUCAAAGCCUCGGAAAUGGACCCCCAGCACCGGGAUGCUGAAAGAAGGCAGAGGAAUCAGCAUGAGAAUGUUAUCCUGACACCUUGGCAAGCAUGGGAGCCCUCGAAAAAAUGUUUAUUCAGAGCUGAGGGAUGGCCUAGCUGGGGAGCAUUUUAUUUUUCACUCCUAGGAGUGUGAAAGGAGGACACACAAAGAAAUUUAUGACUUUCAAUUCCCCUUCUGAGACCCAAAAGAUGCUACAAAGUUGUGGAAAAACAAAAGGGCUUUGCUGCUCAUGGUGAGCUUAAAUCUGCAGCUUCUUCUGACUGUAUUCAGGCCAUGGGACUGCAGCCCAUUCCUGUGCACCAAGCAAUGCUUUCACUUUGGAAAGAUGAUAAAUUGCUGUGCCCUGGUGGAGAUUAAAAGCAGGUAAACAAACAGCAUGGCCUUGACCUAUUGCUCAUACAUUUCACACAGCGAGGUCCUCUAGCAGCAAACAUGGAGGUAUUACAGAGCUUGGGACAGGAUUACACUGAGGGCAAAGCUCUGGGUUACAGCCUCCCAGGAGUUGUGUCCAAUGCUACAGCACUGUGGCCUUUGACAGGAGGGCAAUGAAGUGACAGGGACUCUCAAACUCCGCUUUCUCUGUUGGUGAUCACUUGACAAGAAAAUACCCUGAGAAACCUGAUUAAUUGAACGAGUUUGAGCAGACUGUGGGACUAAAUGAGCUCCAGAGGUCCUUACCAGUGUGAAUUAUUCCACGCUCCAAUGAUUUCAUCUCCUUUUUAUUCUUCACAUUUCCUUAGUUUAAUAAAAAGUCACCUCAGGUUGAAUGUGACUAUGUGCUCUUUGUAUAGAGGCAACCAGGCAAGUAUCCCCAGGAGCUAGAAGCCAACACCCCGGGUCCAAACCCCCAGAGGAGCAGGUUUACUGAGUUAAAAGCAUCUCUUCCACUGGGGACACUCAGUUCGUACUUGUAUAUGUCCUGUUACAUUCCUCUGGCACUGAUCAAUUGUUUCUUUCCAUAUCUGCCUCCUUGAAGCUCCUUACUGAACAGGUUUCUGAUUGCUAACAUUUAACUGUCCAAUGCAGGCAUUGUUUUACGUUUCCAUGAAAGCUUAGGGAUGUAUGGUGACUUCCAAAGGGAUCCAAAGCUACCCGCCCAGAGCUGUCAGUGUCAACUGAUGUUAAUAAAACACUGUGUAAUAUUUCAAGCACAGCUUCAUGCUCAUUUACUGCUAUUUAGAAAACCCAACAGCGUGAGGUGAGAGUUAAAUAAAAGCACAUGUUCCAAAGUCACAGAAAUGACUAUCAGAGAUUGACUUCUGGUUGCUCAUUCAGCUGGCUGCUGUCAACGUGAAGAACGAAGCAAUUCCAUUUUUUAAUGCCAUGUAAAUUAUACCGCUGUGUUGUGAUACAUCAAUUAAGUUCUUUGAAUAAAUUAAUCAGAAAAUUCUGUAAGGAUGCUUCUCUGCUUUCUGAAGGGAAAAAACAAUAAACCCAAACACAGACCCGGGCUUGUGUUUAUCUCGUGAUUUGUUUUCCUCUGGAG